rnacentral:rRNA from 1 species
UUAAGCGACUAAGCGUACACGGUGGAUGCCCUGGCAGUCAGAGGCGAUGAAGGACGUGCUAAUCUGCGAUAAGCGUCGGUAAGGUGAUAUGAACCGUUAUAACCGGCGAUUUCCGAAUGGGGAAACCCAGUGUGUUUCGACACACUAUCAUUAACUGAAUCCAUAGGUUAAUGAGGCGAACCGGGGGAACUGAAACAUCUAAGUACCCCGAGGAAAAGAAAUCAACCGAGAUUCCCCCAGUAGCGGCGAGCGAACGGGGAGCAGCCCAGAGCCUGAAUCAGUGUGUGUGUUAGUGGAAGCGUCUGGAAAGGCGCGCGAUACAGGGUGACAGCCCCGUACACAAAAAUGCACAUGCUGUGAGCUCGAUGAGUAGGGCGGGACACGUGGUAUCCUGUCUGAAUAUGGGGGGACCAUCCUCCAAGGCUAAAUACUCCUGACUGACCGAUAGUGAACCAGUACCGUGAGGGAAAGGCGAAAAGAACCCCGGCGAGGGGAGUGAAAAAGAACCUGAAACCGUGUACGUACAAGCAGUGGGAGCCUCUCUUUAUGGGGGGUGACUGCGUACCUUUUGUAUAAUGGGUCAGCGACUUAUAUUCUGUAGCAAGGUUAACCGAAUAGGGGAGCCGAAGGGAAACCGAGUCUUAACUGGGCGUUAAGUUGCAGGGUAUAGACCCGAAACCCGGUGAUCUAGCCAUGGGCAGGUUGAAGGUUGGGUAACACUAACUGGAGGACCGAACCGACUAAUGUUGAAAAAUUAGCGGAUGACUUGUGGCUGGGGGUGAAAGGCCAAUCAAACCGGGAGAUAGCUGGUUCUCCCCGAAAGCUAUUUAGGUAGCGCCUCGUGAAUUCAUCUCCGGGGGUAGAGCACUGUUUCGGCAAGGGGGUCAUCCCGACUUACCAACCCGAUGCAAACUGCGAAUACCGGAGAAUGUUAUCACGGGAGACACACGGCGGGUGCUAACGUCCGUCGUGAAGAGGGAAACAACCCAGACCGCCAGCUAAGGUCCCAAAGUCAUGGUUAAGUGGGAAACGAUGUGGGAAGGCCCAGACAGCCAGGAUGUUGGCUUAGAAGCAGCCAUCAUUUAAAGAAAGCGUAAUAGCUCACUGGUCGAGUCGGCCUGCGCGGAAGAUGUAACGGGGCUAAACCAUGCACCGAAGCUGCGGCAGCGACGCUGAUGCGUUGUUGGGUAGGGGAGCGUUCUGUAAGCCUGCGAAGGUGUGCUGUGAGGCAUGCUGGAGGUAUCAGAAGUGCGAAUGCUGACAUAAGUAACGAUAAAGCGGGUGAAAAGCCCGCUCGCCGGAAGACCAAGGGUUCCUGUCCAACGUUAAUCGGGGCAGGGUGAGUCGACCCCUAAGGCGAGGCCGAAAGGCGUAGUCGAUGGGAAACAGGUUAAUAUUCCUGUACUUGGUGUUACUGCGAAGGGGGGACGGAGAAGGCUAUGUUGGCCGGGCGACGGUUGUCCCGGUUUAAGCGUGUAGGCUGGUUUUCCAGGCAAAUCCGGAAAAUCAAGGCUGAGGCGUGAUGACGAGGCACUACGGUGCUGAAGCAACAAAUGCCCUGCUUCCAGGAAAAGCCUCUAAGCAUCAGGUAACAUCAAAUCGUACCCCAAACCGACACAGGUGGUCAGGUAGAGAAUACCAAGGCGCUUGAGAGAACUCGGGUGAAGGAACUAGGCAAAAUGGUGCCGUAACUUCGGGAGAAGGCACGCUGAUAUGUAGGUGAAGUCCCUCGCGGAUGGAGCUGAAAUCAGUCGAAGAUACCAGCUGGCUGCAACUGUUUAUUAAAAACACAGCACUGUGCAAACACGAAAGUGGACGUAUACGGUGUGACGCCUGCCCGGUGCCGGAAGGUUAAUUGAUGGGGUUAGCGCAAGCGAAGCUCUUGAUCGAAGCCCCGGUAAACGGCGGCCGUAACUAUAACGGUCCUAAGGUAGCGAAAUUCCUUGUCGGGUAAGUUCCGACCUGCACGAAUGGCGUAAUGAUGGCCAGGCUGUCUCCACCCGAGACUCAGUGAAAUUGAACUCGCUGUGAAGAUGCAGUGUACCCGCGGCAAGACGGAAAGACCCCGUGAACCUUUACUAUAGCUUGACACUGAACAUUGAGCCUUGAUGUGUAGGAUAGGUGGGAGGCUUUGAAGUGUGGACGCCAGUCUGCAUGGAGCCGACCUUGAAAUACCACCCUUUAAUGUUUGAUGUUCUAACGUGGACCCGUAAUCCGGGUUGCGGACAGUGUCUGGUGGGUAGUUUGACUGGGGCGGUCUCCUCCUAAAGAGUAACGGAGGAGCACGAAGGUUGGCUAAUCCUGGUCGGACAUCAGGAGGUUAGUGCAAUGGCAUAAGCCAGCUUGACUGCGAGCGUGACGGCGCGAGCAGGUGCGAAAGCAGGUCAUAGUGAUCCGGUGGUUCUGAAUGGAAGGGCCAUCGCUCAACGGAUAAAAGGUACUCCGGGGAUAACAGGCUGAUACCGCCCAAGAGUUCAUAUCGACGGCGGUGUUUGGCACCUCGAUGUCGGCUCAUCACAUCCUGGGGCUGAAGUAGGUCCCAAGGGUAUGGCUGUUCGCCAUUUAAAGUGGUACGCGAGCUGGGUUUAGAACGUCGUGAGACAGUUCGGUCCCUAUCUGCCGUGGGCGCUGGAGAACUGAGGGGGGCUGCUCCUAGUACGAGAGGACCGGAGUGGACGCAUCACUGGUGUUCGGGUUGUCAUGCCAAUGGCACUGCCCGGUAGCUAAAUGCGGAAGAGAUAAGUGCUGAAAGCAUCUAAGCACGAAACUUGCCCCGAGAUGAGUUCUCCCUGACUCCUUGAGAGUCCUGAAGGAACGUUGAAGACGACGACGUUGAUAGGCCGGGUGUGUAAGCGCAGCGAUGCGUUGAGCUAACCGGUACUAAUGAACCGUGAGACUUAACCU